AAGAACUUUGAUGGAAAAGUUACGUGGGACUGAAAUUCCUCUUGUGGAGUCUGAAGACCUGGAGUCCCAUAUCUCUGCUGAUGUUAAGAAACUGUUUUCUGUUAUUGGUAGUUUCACUGAUUAGCAGAAUCGAAUAAAUUUGCUCUCUAAUGAAAAGGAAGAACUGCAGUCUACACUUUCAAGACAGAAUUUUGAAAUUGAGCAUCUUAAAGGAGAAAUUGAAAUACAUUUUAGAAACAAGCCAGACUUGGAACAUAUGAAAAUGGAGCUGUCUGAGGUUAAAUUUGGUUUGGAAAAGAUUAUUGUUGUGUUGGGAGGAAAGGAGUUCAUUGGAGGCCAAAAUUCUGUUGGUAUGAAAGUGCUUUUGCCUGUUCUAGAAAAGCAGGUUAAUUCAUUCCUGUUGGAGGCCAAAACUUCAAAAUCCAAAGCAGAGGAACUUGGUACCAAGCUGGCUGGAAGCCAAAAGGUCGUGAAUGAAUUGUCAACUAAGGUUAAGUGAAGCACCUUCUGCAUCCACUGGGUCUGAAAUAUCUGAAAUUGAAGAUCUGGGAUCAUUUGGAAAGAACCCAAUAUCUUCUGCGCCCUUAGCUGCCCAUGUCAGAACUAUGUGAAAAGGAUCAACUGACCAUCUUGCACUUAAUAUUGACUCAGAAGCUGACCGCUUGAUCAACAGCAAGGAACUGAUAAGCAGAAAUGUUGGCAUUCUACAAUUUUUUUCUUUCUUAGAAAAGUAACUUCUUAUUUGUACAAGCCUCUAACUUGCAAAACUUAAGCAUACGGUCGUUUCUCUUUUUGACAAGUCGUUCGUUCAACUCCCUCAACACAUCGGGUCUCAUCCCAAAACAAGGGAAGUUGAUUGCAGAUCGAGUCGAUGGAAUCUGGGUAUCCGGUGGUCAGGUUCUAAGCAGUCGUCCCAGAGCAAGGCUAGGCCUCAUUGCCUAUUGUCUUCUCCUGCAUAUAUGGCUACUCGGAACCGUUUUAUAACGAAGCGUGUGAUCUUCAAUCCUCUGGACAUCUUAUCUGAUGCCACAAUUGCAUCAUGGAUAUAUAUGGUAGUCAUUCUUUUAUUUAUUUAUUUAUUCUACACAAUCAUGGAUGUACAUUUCUAGCGAUUGCACUUUUAGAAGUCGCAGAGGAUGUAGGGUCCAUACUUUUGAAGGCAAAAUUCGCCAGUUUCAAGUAAAACAUUGAGCAUGUUGCAAUUUGUGGGUAGUUAAUAGACAAAAUUAAGAUAAUAUA